CCUACGGGAGGCAGCAGUGGGAAUAUUGGACAAUGGGGGCAACCCUGAUCCAGCCAUGCCGCGUGUGUGAAGAAGGCCCUCGGGUUGUAAAGCACUUUCAGUGAGGAAGAACGCCUGGUGGUUAAUACCCAUCAGGAAAGACAUCACUCACAGAAGAAGCACCGGCUAACUCCGUGCCAGCAGCCGCGGUAAUACGGAGGGUGCGAGCGUUAAUCGGAAUUACUGGGCGUAAAGCGCGCGUAGGUGGCUUGAUAAGCCGGUUGUGAAAGCCCCGGGCUCAACCUGGGAACGGCAUCCGGAACUGUCAAGCUAGAGUGCAGGAGAGGAAGGUAGAAUUCCCGGUGUAGCGGUGAAAUGCGUAGAGAUCGGGAGGAAUACCAGUGGCGAAGGCGGCCUUCUGGACUGACACUGACACUGAGGUGCGAAAGCGUGGGUAGCAAACAGGAUUAGAUACCCCAGUAGUC
rnacentral:rRNA from 1 species